rnacentral:rRNA from 1 species
AUACGGAGGGAGCGAGCGUUAAUCGGAAUUACUGGGCGUAAAGCGCGCGUAGGCGGCCUGUCAAGUCGGACGUGAAAUCCCACGGCUCAACCGUGGAACUGCGUUCGAAACUGUCAGGCUUGAGUCCCGGGGAGGGUAGCGGAAUUCCCAGUGUAGCGGUGAAAUGCGUAGAUAUUGGGAGGAACACCAGUGGCGAAGGCGGUUACCUGGACGGGUACUGACGCUGAGGCGCGAAAGCGUGGGGAGCAAACAGGAUUAGAAACCCCAGUAGUCC